GACGAACGCUGGCGGCGUGCUUAACACAUGCAAGUCGAACGGAAAGGCCCUGCUUUUGUUGGGUGCUCGAGUGGCGAACGCGUGUGUAACACGUGAGUAACCUGCCCUUAACUGUCGGAUAACUUCAGGAAACUGGGGCUAAUAUCCGAUAGGAGCUCCUGCUGCAUGGUGGGGGUUGGAAAGUUUCGGCGGUGGGGGCUGGACUCGCGGCUUAUCAGCUUGUUUGGGGGGUAGUGGCUGACCAAGGCUUUGACGGGUACCCGGCCUGAGCGGGUGACCGGCGACCUUGGGACUGAGGGAAGGCCGAGACACCGAAGGGUGGCAGCAGUGGGGAAGACUGAAGAAGGGGCGGAAGCUGGAUGAAGCAGCUCUGCGGGCGGGAUAACGGCCUUCGGGGUGUAAAACGCUUGUGCCAGUGACGAAGCGUGAGUUAAGGGAAUGGGUACAGAAGCACCGGCUAACUUCGGG
rnacentral:rRNA from 1 species